ACUUCUUCUGUUGCUGAGUCUUUUCCCCUUGUCACCAGCUAAACCAGUUUAUUGUCAUGCUUGAGGCAUGUUGGCGAGAAUGUCAGAGCUCCGACAGAAACUGCAGAAAGCCUGAUCCCCGCCCCGCCUCGCCGUGUCUCUAGAGUUUUUCAGUUGGAUUCUGAAUACAUGAAUACAUCUAUGUGGAUGAGGCUGGUUUCAACCUGGCCAAGAGGAGGAGAAGAGGGAGAAACAUCAUUGGACAACGGGCUAUAGUCAACGUCCCAGGUCAGCAUGGAGGCAGCGUAACCCUCUGUGCUGCAAUAAGCAAUCUUGGAGUAAUUGAUCGUCAUGCAGUUCUGGACCCAUACAACACCCAGCAUUUGUUGACUUUCCUACAUGGACUUGGUGAGGGCCUACUGACACGGGUGCAGCAGGGCGCUUGGCAAGAAGACAGUUUUUGUUGUUGUCUGGGACAAUGUUAGUUUUCAUAGAGGACUAUUGAUUCGGGAAUGGUUCAAUAUGAACCCUCGAUUUAUUGUGGUUUUUCUGCUGCCAUAUUCUCCCUUUCUGAAUCCUAUAGAAGAAUUCUUCUCUACAUGGAGGUGGAAGGUGAAUCUGCGGCAGCCAUACUUUGGGAAAAUCUCUUGCUAUCGAUAUUGGCAUGUGGUGAUGUUUCUGCUGAUGCAUAUCAGUGCUGGAUCAGACACACCAGGUCUUUCUUUCCAGAGAAAACAUAGCUUGUGAUGUUGAUGAGGUCCUGUGGCCUGACCAGGCUGAAAGAACUGAUGCAGACCUGGUGUAAAUAUUUGCAUACUGUACUGUGUACAAUACAGUUCUGUAUUUUUUUUUUUGUCUAACAUUAUUUUUAUUUUGUAUUGUACAGUCAAGCACUGCAAUGGCCCCCUCCGAUUCAUUUAUAGGAUGCAUUUGUGUUUAAGUUGUCAUUUUUGAGGACUGCAUCAUUUUUUUACACUUCAUGUGAAAACAGUGAGAGAGGAGUGUUUUAUAUUUAGCAGUGCAGUGUCCUAGUUUUGCUUUGUGUGUCUUAAUUUUGAAAACAAAGUUCAGAUUUUGACAAUAAAGUGCGCUUUUGACACAA